rnacentral:lncRNA from 1 species
UUGGGGAAUGGUCAUGCACUCAGACUUGUGGUUCUACGGUAUCCUCGUAGACCACCAAGGGUAGGUCAGCCUAUGAUUCCUCACUUUCUUCCUCAUCUGGGGGGGCAUAGAAAGAGUGAGUUCCAUAUGCUCAGCAAAGAAAAUAAUAUUAAAUUAACAUCGUAAGAUUUUAAAAGUUAAUUAUUUUAUUUUACCUUUUAACUUCCUUGUUUACCUAUCUCACAUUAUGAACAAUCAUUUACUUGUUAAGAAAAUGAUACGUUAACACAGAACAUUAAAUAUAUCUUAUGCCAGAUAAUAGAGAAAAAUAAAUAAAUCACGAAAUACUAAGAUUUUUGUAUCAUUCUUUGCGAAUUCAUUACAACUUUCAUCUUUGAGAGAAGAUACAGAUUUCUAACUACAUAAGUGGAAUGACCAGAUCAUAUACAGAUACAACAAUUUGCUCAGGCCCAUUUCUAGCUAGUGAAACCAUGGGACGAUCUAUGACCAUGGCCAUACCAGCCAUAGUGGUCAUAACGGAUAUCUACAGUCACGAUAUUACUUAGCCACGGGUGACCCCUACAGAUACUGCGACACCAUUCUCGUCAGAUGGUAUGCUGUCAUUCACUGGGAACAAUCCUCUUACGUCUUUUCAAACUAGAUAGGGGAGGGAGAAACAGAUACCCCGAAGGGCAAGGGGAA